AGGACGAACGCUGGCGGCGUGGAUUAGGCAUGCAAGUCGCGCGACGAACCUUCGGGUUACGGAGCGGCGAACGGGUGAGUAACACGUGAACAAUCUGUCCCUACAUUCCGGAUAAUUGGCCGAAAGGCCUUGUAAUACGGGCGAGGAUGGUGGUGAGGCAUCUCACUAUCAGGGAAGGUGCAACGCAAGUUGUGCCGUGCAGGGGAGGGUUCGCGGCCUAUCAGUUAGUUGGUGGGGUAACGGCCUACCAAGACGACGACGGGUAGC
rnacentral:rRNA from 1 species